rnacentral:rRNA from 1 species
CGGAUUAGAUACCCUGGUAGUCCACGCCGUAAACGAUGUCUACUAGCCGUUGGGACUCUUGAAGUCUUAGUGGCGCAGCUAACGCACUAAGUAGACCGCCUGGGGAGUACGGCCGCAAGGUUAAAACUCAAAUGAAUUGACGGGGGCCCGCACAAGCGGUGGAGCAUGUGGUUUAAUUCGACGCAACGCGAAGAACCUUACCUGGCCUUGACAUGCAGAGAACUUUCCAGAGAUGGAUUGGUG